AAGAAAGAAAAGGCGGAAUUCCUAGUGUAGCGGUGAAAUGCGUAGAUAUUAGGAGGAACACCGGUGGCGAAGGCGGCUUAC
rnacentral:rRNA from 1 species